ACUCAGGGAUCUUCCCAAUCUCACCGUCUUAUCAGUGUUGUAUAAUAAUUUUACGGACUGUGCCUGGCGAUUGAUUUGAUGCCCAUUUUUGGAGCAUUUUUAGCUGGGAUGAGUCUCUUCUAGGCAUGCCCAUGUGGGGUUUCCUCGUUGGUUGGGUAGUAAAACAAAUUCACAUAUAUCUUCCCUUCUCGUUUUUCUUCAUUAUCGUUCUUCCUUUAGAAAUAUAAAGAAAGAUGAAAAAGGAGAUUAAUAGGAAGAAUCUGUGUUGAGUAUUAUGGAUGUAGGUUAUAGGUAGGCUAGCAACAGUCGGCCACAAAACUCCAUCGAGGAUGACAGGUCACUUGCCUAAUUUACCUUCCAUGCAUGACCCGGAGUUCAUGGAGCUGGUAUGGGAAAAUGGUGAAGUUCUCAUUCGAGGUUUAUCGUCGAAGAUAACUACACCGUUCUCGACACGUUAUUUGUCUCGACCUUCGUCUGGAAUUCAACUAAUCGAAGGGAAAACUCGUACCACCAGUGGAUCAAAGGAUGGGGUUGCAGAUUCUACGUUCGCCGAUCCGAUAUCGGUUCUCUCGAGGGCUGUUUUGGGAGCCGAUAAAAGAUGUUACGAUAGGUUGAAACAAAGCGACGUGCCUAAACUCAUAGCAGACCAGGUACCCUGUUCGUCCAUGAAGCAGCGGUAUGAAACUUGGGAUAUGGGACCAAGGGAGAAAAAAUCAAGGUUUGAUGAGGAAAAAGAUAAGGUGAACUUUUCCAUGUUCUUAAGCACCGGUGCAACAAGAGCAACGAGCAGUCAAGUACUAGCUGCAGGUGAUGAGGAUUUACGAGGGAAUAAUGUCAAAUCUUUGCCUCCAAGGGGCGAUCUCUUGGAAAACGAAGGGAAUUUAAUGGCUAAGAAAAUGAAGUCACCUCAAAAAGUGUUACAUCCUGAUGAACAAUCCGAAGCAAUUCCGAAUUCAAAGUUACUUAAUGAGGUUUAUGAAUCCUCAACCUUAGCGCCGGAUAAUACAGGUUUUAAGGAAAAUCCUGAGCAAAUGGUUGCAUCAUCUUCUUUGUGUUCGCGUGGUGCUUCAAACUGUCCUUCAUACCCUUUGAAGAGGAGAUAUGAAGACACUGAUCUCAGUAAAAAUACAGAUAUGGAAGAACCAGAGGGAACGAGAGGAAGCAAAGGUGCUAAAGGAAAGAGAAAAACAGAAGUCCACAGCUUAUCUGAACGGAAGCGAAGAGAUACAAUCAACAAGAAGAUGCGUGCACUGAAAGAGCUCAUACCGAACUGUACUAGGGUGGAUAAAGCUUCGAUGCUUGAUGAGGCAAUAGAGUAUUUAAAGACCCUUCAGCUUCAAGUUCAGCUGAUGUCAAUGGGAAAUGGGAUUUAUAUGCCACCGAUGAUGUUCCCCUCGCCUUCGACAAUGCAACAGAUAAAUGCUCAACAUUUGGGUGGCUAUUCUCCCAUGGCAGUUGGAAUGGGUAUGAGAAUGCAAAUGGGUGUCGGCUGCGGCGCCCCACCACAGUUUCCGCCUUCAUUAGUGCCAGUAGCAGAUCCUAUAACAGAAGCUACAGUCAGCAUGCUUGGGUUAAGGUCCAUGUCACGUUCACCUUUUGUACCUUCGGCUGGUAGUUUCAUCCCACAAUCGUUCCAGCCCCCUGGGGCUGCGGCAUCACAGCCUGCUCCGAAGGCGAUGGCACAAGUGGAUCGUAUUCCAGGUGAUACUAGUCCAACACAUUAACUUAAUGAUGCUUAAUGGUUCCUUAUGACGUCUAAAAAGACAACAGGUUUCCUGUCAUCAGCAAUCACAGUCAUGGAAUGAGGUGGACUCAUGGAAGCUCCCUUUCAUCCGCAAUGAUUUUCCAAAGAAUGAAUUACCUCUUUUCUUAAUCAAGGCAUUGCAAAUGUAAAAAGCAAGUAUUUCCCCCAUGAAAAAGCACAAAAAUUCACUCCAGUUAUGAUUUGUAAGAAGGCAGCAACUGUAUCCUAUUUUGUACAUUACCAAAGGAAUAUAUAAGCCUCAUUUUCCAGCAGUUUAGCUUGAUUGUUCGGCUAAAUUAACAAUUUUUUGAUCAUAUCGAGUGAAAUGGAUUAUACAUUGGUCAAGAAACAGCAGUGUUUUGUCUCAAGAUCUGGGAUCUUGCUUCUCAAGGAGUUGCUGUUAGUAUGAAUAAUCCAGCAUUAAGUUGCCUUCAUUUUAUGGUAUGAUUUUUCUU